GACUGAGUCAGGAGCAACUAUUAAGGUUUAUGGUGCAAAGGGUGAACAAACUCAAAGGCAAAUUCAUUUGGGUGGUAGUGCUCAACAGGUUAGCCUAGCAAAGCAGAGAAUUGAUGAAUAUGUUUAUUCCCAGUUGAUGCUACAAUC